CCUUGAAAUACCACCCUUUAAUGUUUGAUGUUCUAACGUUGACCCGUGAUCCGGGUUGCGGACAGUGUCUGGUGGGUAGUUUGACUGGGGCGGUCUCCUCCUAAAGAGUAACGGAGGAGCACGAAGGUUGGCUAAUCCUGGUCGGACAUCAGGAGGUUAGUGCAAUGGCAUAAGCCAGCUUGACUGCGAGUGUGACGGCGCGAGCAGGUGCGAAAGCAGGUCAUAGUGAUCCGGUGGUUCUGAAUGGAAGGGCCAUCGCUCAACGGAUAAAAGGUACUCCGGGGAUAACAGGCUGAUACCGCCCAAGAGUUCAUAUCGACGGCGGUGUUUGGCACCUCGAUGUCGGCUCAUCACAUCCUGGGGCUGAAGUAGGUCCCAAGGGUAUGGCUGUUCGCCAUUUAAAGUGGUACGCGAGCUGGGUUUAGAACGUCGUGAGACAGUUCGGUCCCUAUCUGCCGUGGGCGCUGGAGAAUUGAGGGGGGCUGCUCCUAGUACGAGAGGACCGGAGUGGACGCAUCACUGGUGUUCGGGUUGUCAUGCCAAUGGCACUGCCCGGUAGCUAAAUGCGGAAGAGAUAAGUGCUGAAAGCAUCUAAGCACGAAACUUGCCCCGAGAUGAGUUCUCCCUGACUCCUUGAGAGUCCUGAAGGAACGUUGAAGACGACGACGUUGAUAGGCCGGGUGUGUAAGCGCAGCGAUGCGUUGAGCUAACCGGUACUAAUGAACCGUGAGGCUUAACCUUACAACGCCGAAG
rnacentral:rRNA from 1 species